CAGCUCAUAUGACCAAGCUGCACAGAGAGCCUCCCUGCUCUAUGAAGAAAACAAUGAUGAUGGGAAUCUGUGGACCAGGACCAGUCAGGACGCCCCCCUCCCCCUCUGUUCCUCCUCCCAUCCUCCUGACUCCAGCUGCCUGGUCUGUCUCAACCAGACGGUCUUCGUGGUGUGCCGUAACCUAACCAAAGGGGUCAAAGUGAUGAUGGAGGCUGGAACAGACCAGGUCCUCCUCUCAAAGUCUGAAUGCCCUGAACUCUCCUCUGGCGACGCUCCACAAUCACUGCUGCCCGUUAUCAUCCCCUUCAUCAUCCUCAUCCUCCUCAUCAUCAUCAGGGGGGGUUUAUAUAUAUAUAUAGGAAACGCUGCAGGAAGUGAAGAAAUCAAACCCAGACUCACACAGAAGAUGAAUCAUCCACCAUGACUGAUGUGACACCAUGAAGGAAACUGAGAGACAUCUUUUCUACUUUUUAGAGUUGGUGGAAAUGAAUCAUGAACAGAUGUUUUUAACCCUAAUGCCCUCCUCGGUCAUUUUUGUACAUUUUUCUCAAGUUUUUUUUUCAUUUUGUGAUCAUUUUUGCUGUGUUACUGGUUAUGGCAUGACAUUUUGUAGGAACC